rnacentral:rRNA from 1 species
AUUGAACGCUGGCGGAAUGCUUUACACAUGCAAGUCGAACGGCAGCACGGACUUCGGAAUGGUGGCGAGUGGCGAACGGGUGAGUAAUAUAUCGGAACGUGACCAGUCGUGGGGGAUAACGUAGCGAAAGUUACGCUAAUAACGCAUACGCACUAUGGAAGAAAGCGGGGGAUCGCAAGACAUCUCACGAUUGGAGAGGUCGAUAUCAGAUUAGGUAGUUGGUGGGUGAAAGGCUCACCAAGCCAACGAUCUGUAGCUGGUCUGAGAGGACGACCAGCAACACUGGAACUGAGACACGGUCCAGACUCCUACUGGAGGCAGCAGUGGGGAAUUUUGGACAAUGGACGCAAGUCUGAUCCAGCCAUUCCGCGUGCAGGAUGAAGGCCCUCGGGUUGUAAACUGCUUUUGUACGGAACGAAAAGGUCUCCAUUAAUACUGGGGGCUCAUGACGGUACCGUAAGAAUAAGCACCGGCUAACUACGUGCCAGCCGCCGCCGUAACAC